UCCAGACUCCUACGGGAGGCAGCAGUGGGGGAUAUUGCACAAUGGGGGGAACCCUGAUGCAGCGACGCCGCGUGGGUGAAGGAGCGUUUCGGCGCGUAAAGCCCUAUCGGCAGGGAAGAAGGAGGACGGUACCUGACUAAGAAGCCCCGGCUAACUACGUGCCAGCAGCCGCGGUAAUACGUAGGGGGCAAGCGUUAUCCGGAUUUACUGGGUGUAAAGGGGGCGCAGACAGCAGCGCAAGCCAGGAGUGAAAGCCCGGGGCUUAACCCCGGAACUGCUUUGGAAACUGAGCAGCUAGAGUGCAGGAGAGGUAAGUGGAAUUCCUAGUGUAGCGGUGAAAUGCGUAGAUAUUAGGAGGAACACCAGUGGCGAAGGCGGCUUACUGGACUGUAACUGACGUUGAGGCUCGAAAGCGUGGGGAGCAAACAGGAUUAGAUACCCGUGUAA
rnacentral:rRNA from 1 species